rnacentral:rRNA from 1 species
GACAGAGGGUGCAAACGUUGUUCGGAAUUACUGGGCGUAAAGCGCGUGUAGGCUGCUUCGCAAGUCGGGUGUGAAAGCCCUGGGCUCAACCUAGGAAGUGCACUCGAAACUGCGGAGCUGGAGUCUUGGAGAGGAAGGCGGAAUUCUCGGUGUAGAGGUGAAAUUCGUAGAUAUCGAGAGGAACACCGGUGGCGAAGGCGGUUCUCUGGGCAUGACCUGACGCUGAGGAGCGAAAGUGUGGGGAGCGAACAGG